UACGUAGGGCGCAAGCGUUGUCCGGAAUUAUUGGGCGUAAAGAGCUCGUAGGCGGCUUGUCACGUCGGGUGUGAAAGCCCGGGGCUUAACCCCGGGUCUGCAUUCGAUACGGGCUAGCUAGAGUGUGGUAGGGGAGAUCGGAAUUCCUGGUGUAGCGGUGAAAUGCGCAGAUAUCAGGAAGAACACCUAUGGCGAAGGCAGCACUCUGGGACGGUACUGACGCUGAGACGCGAAAGCGUGGGGAGCGAACAGG
rnacentral:rRNA from 1 species